GAUGAACGCUGGCGGCGUGCCUAAUACAUGCAAGUCGAGCGAACAGACGAGGAGCUUGCUCCUCUGACGUUAGCGGCGGACGGGUGAGUAACACGUGGAUAACCUACCUAUAAGACUGGGAUAACUUCGGGAAACCGGAGCUAAUACCGGAUAAUAUAUUGAACCGCAUGGUUCAAUAGUGAAAGACGGUUUUGCUGUCACUUAUAGAUGGAUCCGCGCCGCAUUAGCUAGUUGGUAAGGUAACGGCUUACCAAGGCAACGAUGCGUAGCCGACCUGAGAGGGUGAUCGGCCACACUGGAACUGAGACACGGUCCAGACUCCUACGGGAGGAAGCAGUAGGGAAUCUUCCGCGAUGGGCGAAAGCCUGACGUAGCAACGCCGCGUGAGUGAUGAAGGUCUUCGGAUCGGAAAACUAUGUUAGUAGGGAAGAACAAAUGUAUAAGUAACUAUGCACGUCUUGACGGUACCUAAUCAGAAAGCCACGGCUAACUACGUG
rnacentral:rRNA from 1 species